AAGCGGUGGAUGAUGUGGUUUAAUUCGAUGCAACGCGAAAACCUUACCCACCUUUGACAUGGCAGGAAUCCUGAAGAGAUUUGGGAGUGCUCGAAAGAGAACCUGCACACAGGUGCUGCAUGGCUGUCGUCAGCUCGUGUCGUGAGAUGUUGGGUUAAGUCCCGCAACGAGCGCAACCCUUGCCAUUAGUUGCUACGAAAGGGCACUCUAAUGGGACUGCCGGUGACAAACCGGAGGAAGGUGGGGAUGACGUCAAGUCCUCAUGGCCCUUAUAGGUGGGGCUACACACGUCAUACAAUGGCCGGUACAGAGGGUAGCCAACCCGCGAGGGGGAGCCAAUCCCACAAAGCCGGUCGUAGUCCGGAUCGCAGUCUGCAACUCGACUGCGUGAAGUCGGAAUCGCUAGUAAUCGUGAAUCAGAAUGUCACGGUGAAUACGUUCCCGGGCCUU
rnacentral:rRNA from 1 species